AACGAACGCUGGCGGCAUGCCUAACACAUGCAAGUCGAACGAGACCUUCGGGUCUAGUGGCGCACGGGUGCGUAACGCGUGGGAACCUGCCCUUAGGUUCGGAAUAACUCCCCGAAAGGGGUGCUAAUACCGGAUAAUGUCUUCGGACCAAAGAUUUAUCGCCUUUGGAUGGGCCCGCGUUGGAUUAGCUAGUUGGUAGGGUAAAAGCCUACCAAGGCGACGAUCCAUAGCUGGUCUGAGAGGAUGAUCAGCCACACUGGGACUGAGACACGGCCCAGACUCCUACGGGAGGCAGCAGUGGGGAAUAUUGGACAAUGGGCGAAAGCAUGAUCCAGCAAUGCCGCGUGAGUGAUGAAGGCCUUAGGGUUGUAAAGCUCUUUUACCCGGGAUGAUAAUGACAGUACCGGGAGAAUAAGCUACGGCUAACUCCGUG
rnacentral:rRNA from 1 species